rnacentral:rRNA from 1 species
UGCGUAGGCGGCUUUUUAAGUUUGGUGUGAAAUCUCCUGGCUCAACCGGGAGGGUGCGCCGAAUACUGAGAGGCUAGAGUGUGGGAGAGGAAAGUGGAAUUCCUGGUGUAGCGGUGAAAUGCGUAGAUAUCAGGAGGAACACCGGUGGUGUAAACGGCUUUCUGGACCAUAACUGACGCUGAGGCACGAAAGCGUGGGUAGCAAACAGGAUUAGAUACCCUGGUAGUCCACGCCCUAAACGAUGCAUAUUUGGUGUGGGCCAUUCAUUUGGUCUGUGCCGGAGCUAACGCGUUAAAUAUGCCGCCUGGGGAGUACAGUCGCAAGGCUGAA